CUCUUAUCGUUCUAACCUGCUCACUUGCUAGAUGCGCCUCUCUCUUCUCCAUUUUUCAUAUCCUCAUUGUUGAAUCCUGAAAGUAAAAAAAAUCAGAAGUAAUCACUUCAAUCUUUGCUCCUAAACCCAAACCCCUUUCUCAUCUUAUUCAUCUUCUCCAAAAAGCUCAAAUGUAAACUGAAAGAUAACAACAACAAUUUGUUUGUAAUUAAACAAACCCCUUAAAUUGCCUUUUAUACCAAGAAAUAAAACUGGUCGAUCUGAAUCGAUUCAGUAUGUUGAUGGUCUUACCGAGGUUCUGAACUAUAUGGAUAUUCAACUGGAACGACCUAAAGUCUGAUGGGGUGAAGCAAAAGUUGGAAUGGCUAAUUAAAAUCAGGAGAAAAAUCUCCAUGUGAACAAUUAAAAUCGGGUUCAA